CGCUUCGGGACUGCAAUCCCAGCAUGCCCCGGUCUCAGGGGCGGGGCGCAGUUCUUGCGGGAGGAGCGGGGCGGUGCGCUCCUGGCCACGCAGGCUGGAAACUGUAGCUCUUAACGGUUCCCCGCCCGUUGGUGGCAAGGCGGCUGGACUAGAAUCCUAGCAGGCGAUAUGCGAGAAGGCGGGCAGCCCAAGAGGGUUGGGCAGGGCAGUGUGGAUCUCGCCGCUUCCACAGCGAUGCUGGCUACUGAUUUCGGACACCUCCUUGCCAUGGGAUGUGAGUCCGGAGAGGGACAGGAGGGGCAGGUCCGGGUUGGGCAGUGAGGAGGGUGUGACGCCGCGAAGUGCACCUCGCCCUUGUCCAACUCGGACGGGUGUGGUCCUCACCUCACUUCCCGCUGCUAGGCUGGGUUCCCUCUCCCACCUGCACCCGGGGUCUUUCCUGGACAUCACGCCUCCUCCAGCCCAGGGAGCCACCUGCUUUCCUAAGCUGCUGUGGGAACUGGCCUGCGGUCCAGGCACUGUCCACUGUGCCGCUGCCCUCUUUUCUCUCCAGCCAGAGCGCAGUGCAGCCGCUAUGGGGAGAAAUCCGCCGCCCGGCCCGCCAGUGCACAAGUUCAGAGCUUUGCGUGGGGCAACAUGCUCUGUGGCUUCAUGAAAAUGUCACCCUCACCAGCGCCUUUUUCGCGGAUGUGGAUGUUGAGGUGGCAGAGAGGGUCAUUAUUGGUUUACCCAGGAGAUGCUAACAGCAGAAGAGAAAAUCUCACAUCCCAGGCGUGUGUCUCUGGUGCGCCAUUUUCCCCCAACCCAUUUGGUGGAAAGUUCCCCAAAUAGCUACCUAAAGAUGAAGAUAGUUUAGGCAUUUUACACGUGACAUCAUUGGCCUCAUCUCAACCGAGGCCUGACUGGGCAGUGUCUCAAAGACACAAUGGCAACCUGAUUCUCAGGAACAGGUGGUGCUCCAGCUUUGUGUGAGCGACUUUCAAGGUAUAGAGCACUUGGGGAGUCUUUGAAACUCCUCAGGCUUCACAACUUUGCUUUGAAUGGAAUGUUCAUCACCCCCGGCACUCACGGAGGUGAGAAAACUGACACUUGGAGAGGUAGAGUAGCUUUAUUUACUUCACACAAGCUUUUGAUGAAUUUCAAGUCUCAACCUAGAAGUCUUCCUCUAAGGUUCGUGCUUUCACGCACCUGUAAUUCAAAUACUGAUGAAAACAAAACUAUUGCCCUCCUACCAAAUGGUAACAAUGGAAAUUAAUGUUAUGACUGGAUAAGACAAUUGUGAAGAAACUGCACUUCGAGGUUGUCUGUCUCCGUAUUCCGAUGGAAAAGGCUGGACUUUAGAAGCAUUGCUCGCUCCUUCAGUUUCUAACAAGAGUUUUACAGUUUCUGAUUAAAUACCAAUGGGAUAUCACCUCCCAUCUCUUAGGAUGGCUGUUAUAAAAAGGACAAGAGAUAACAAGUGUUGGUGAUGGUGUGGAGAGAAGGGAACCUUUGUACACUGCUGGUUAAAAUGAAAUGAAAUCAGCAUCUGAUAGAGAUAUCUUCACUCCCCUCUUCUCCGUGCCCCACCACAGCAUUGCUCCCAACAGCCAAGCCAUGGGAUGAAGUUACUGUGCAUUGAUGGAUGAGUGGAGAAAAGAAAAUGUGGGGGAGGUGUUUGUGCAUGUAUGUGUGUGUGUGUAUAAUAUAUAAUAAUAUAAUAUUUUUCAGCUUUUAAGAAGUUGAAGAUACUGCCAUUUGUGAUAACAUAAAUGAAUCUGGAGGAUAUUAAGCUAAGUAAAAUAACUUAGGGAGAGAGAAAAAUACUGCAUAAUUUCUGUUACAUAUGAAAUCUUUAAAAAGGUUUAAUACAUAGAGACAUGAUAGAGUGAUGAUUUGGGGGAUAAGAGACACAAGUCAACGUUUCAGUUAUAUAAAAUAAAUGAAUCUAGAGGACUAAAGUACAAUUUAAAGGUUAUAGUUACUAUUUUUAUAUUAUAUACUAGUGAUUUUUGAACAGGGUAAACUUUAGGUGCUUUGACACCAAAAGGAAACUACAUGAGUUCAUGUAUAUGUUAAAUUGUUUGACCGCAGUCAUCAUUGAUAUGUAUAUGUAUAUAUAUAUAAUUAUGGGCUCAUUAAAUUUAAAUGCUAUAAAUAGGUAACAAAGAAUAAAGUUAAUUGAAAAACUGCAUCAUUAGACUUGAUUUUGCCUACAUGAAAAACUGAAACUGCCUCCUAAAUAUUAAUAUUUGUACAUCGCAUAAAGUUUAUAUGUUGGAAAUAUGUUUAAAGAAAAGGAAUUAUAAAUUUUAAUAAACACAGAAUGACACAGUAAAUGCAAAACAGUAGAAAGAGAUGAAAAUCUGAUUAAUCAGAGUGGUUAAUGCUUAGAUAUAAUUAAUGAUGUGUUAGGAGCAAUUUCAAGCCACUUCCACAUAGAUUUAAUACCAAAGAGUUUAUGUGUACACAGAGAUUAAAUAAAAAAAUACAUUUACAAUGAUAUUAAUUGAUAUUAAAAUGAUUAUGAAAUCAACUGUCUGCUAUAGAAAAAAUAGAGCAUUAAGUAACUAGCAGUAAGUUUGAAACUUUGUUAGAAAGUUAAUCAAGUGAAAAAGUGAUCAGCAUUUUUGAGCACUAAAUAGAGGAUGGACAAAAUUUUCUUUUCUUUCUUUCUUUUUUUUUUUUUUUUGAGAUCGAGUCUGUCUCUGUCGCCCAGGCUGGAGUACAGCGGCGCAAUCUUGAUCUCGGCUCACUGCAAGCUCUGCCUCCCGGGUUCACGCCAUUCUCCUGCAUUAGCCUCCUGAGUACCUGGGACUGCAGGCGCCCACAGCCAUCCCUGGCUAAUUUUUUGUAUUUUUAGUGGAGACGGGGUUUCACCGUGUUAGUCAAGAUGGUCACGAUCUCCUGAGCUCAUGAUCCACCUGCCUCAGCCUCUUAAAGUGCUGGGAUUACAGGCGUGAGCCACCGCACCUGGCCUAUAAUUUUCCAAUACCAAGAAAAUCAUUUGAUAUUGCAAGAUUUUAAACCUAAAUUAGUGUCUUUAACUUCACAAAGGUAGAAAUCCUAUAAGUAAUGUUUCUUGAACACUUUAAAAUGACAAUAAAAACUAAAGUGUAACCAACAAGUAACAUGUAGCCACAUGCAAAUUUCCUUUUAGAUUGUUUUAUUAUUUUUUUAACUUUAUGUGAAUUUUUAUUUUACUAGGUUUUUGGGGAACAGGUGGUGUUUGGUUAGAGGGAUAAGUUUUUAGUGGUGAUCUCUGAGAUGUUGGUGCAGUGUACACUGUACCCAAUGGGUAGCCUUUGAUCCCUAAGAUUGUUUUAAAUGACAUCUAGAUUAAAUAGAACAUUCAAACUGACAUUACUUUUACAGCACCAGAGAAAUGCUAAGGAGGAAGCUUUGUGACUGAAACCAAAAGACCUGAAUUUAUAUAUUUAAUUUUACUAAUUAACAUUCUUAAUUUUAUAGAAAAACAGCAAUUCUGCCCACAUGCAGGAGUUAUGCAUUAAAGUGGAGCAUGAUCACUUCAGACAUUUGUCCAAAACAUAAAAAUUCUUCCAAGUAUUAAGAAAAUAUUUAUACUUCACAGAUAUUGUUAGUGUAUAAUACAUGGGCAUUGAGAUGUUUCAAAUGAGAAAAAUUGAAAUUUCUCAUGGGGCAUUGUUCUACACAAAAUAUUUAUGUAAAAUUUUUUACUCAUAUAUGCAUGUGGACAUUUGAUGUUUUAGCACAGAAUAACAUAUUCUCAAAGGUCAUUUAAUGUAGUAAAUUAAAAAUCUUUAAAGUUUACAAGAAUUUUAAAACUGCCCAGCAGAACUGAUAGAAAAAUAUGGGAGCUUCCCAGGACCAGAAGUGAAUCAAGAGGCAAAUUCACAGGAGUCAUGAAAGUGAGAAGUUAGAGCUGCCUUCAGGUACAGCUCUGAUUGCAGGGCUGAUUACACAGACCUCAAGCCUGUGAAAAUCGUCCACUCUGCCCCUUGGAAUAUACAUACAGAGAAAAUUACUAACUGGGGCAUCCCAAAUGUGAGAUCUCUAUAAUGUAAGAACCAAAUUGCAAUUAUGAAGCACACAAAAGAAGCUACCCAAAAAAGGGAAAGAAAUUAUACAUCACGUAAACUUCACAGAUUGGAAACGUAUUUAAAAUAAGUAACACAAAUAGGGAAAGAGAAUAUCAAAAUAAUUUUGAAAACACAUGAAGUUCUAAAGCGGGCACUGGGGGCAGUGGCUCAUGCCUGUACUCCCAAGCACUUUGCGGUGGCCAAAGCAGGAGGAUCACUUGAGGCCAGGAGUUUGAGAUCAGCCUGGGCAACAAAGCAAAAGUUGUCUCUACAACAAAUAGAUAUAAAAAAAUAAGCCAGGCACAGUGGUGUGUGCUUGUACUGUCAGCUACUGGGGAGGUGGAGGUGAGAGGGUCUUUUGAGACUGGGAAUUUGAGGUUGCAGUGAGCUAUGACCACCACUGAACUCAAGCCUGGGUGACAGAGAUUCUUUCUCAAACACACACACACACACACACACACACACACACACACACACACACACACACUAAACAGGCAUGUUUUGCAAAGACUCAAACAGAAAUUGAACAACUGAAACUUAAAUAAAUUUAAUAUACAGUGUAUGGUUUAAUUAUUAAACCAAGUUAAUAACAACAGGAUUAGUGAACUAGAAUACUGAGAUGAGUAAAUAAAAGAACUACAGAAAAAUGAAAUGAUCACAAUACAAAAAUGAGUAUACAUGUACAAAGAAUAAAAUGAAAUGAAAUCAAAUACAUUGGUUUCACUAGCUUACAUAUAAAUAACAAAUCACAUUAAUAACAAAUAUUUAUAAAUUUCUGAAACUGAAUAUCAGAUGGGAACCCUUGAAUGCAGAAGUGUAUUGUGAUUAAUAGUGGCCUACCAAUAAAAAAUACUCAACAGAAAUAAAAGUCAAACUGCAUAACAGCAAAGAAAAGAAAAAAUUUUAAAGCCAUAAGAGAGAAAAGAAGAGAGAACCAAUGAAGGUGAGAGCAAAGUCUUCACAGCCCGUGUUCAGUCAGAAAACAGAGAAAUAAGUAAGAGUGCUGAGAUAAGUCACUGUUCAACCAAUAAUUAGAUACUUCACUAACAUAUUUUGAAUAAGUGAGGAUGCACUACAUGAUUUCCAAAAGUAAAAAAGUGGGAAAUCUUAUUACCAAUAUGAGCUUAUUAAGAAUACACUUCAAAAAGAAAAAAAAUUUAAAAUGGAGUUCAAGGAAUCAAAAUGAAAUGCAAGAAACUGCAAACAUAUUGGGCUAUCAAAUCAUGGUGGACAAUGAACAAAAGGAUCCAUCAAGUCUUUGGCAGCAUCAGUUUCCAAAUGAUUUACAUAAAAUAAAAGUGCUAAACUCUAUACAAUGUAAUGAAAUAAAUUAUCAAAUCCUCUGAUACUUGAAUAAUUUAACUGAUGUUAGAAUCUCCUUUUCAGAUAAUUAUUUUCAUGGAAAAAAAUAUACAAUACUUCUGUCUCAUCAUUUGCAGAAUAUCAAUUAUCCUUUUUUCAGAACUUAUUAGCACCAAAGGGCUCACAGUGGCAUAGGCCCUGGUCACAAGCCUCUGGACACCCAG
rnacentral:lncRNA from 1 species